AAGAGUCAAUAUUACGAACUACAGUUUAAAAUUCUAAGACUUUGGCGGUGUCUUAUAAAACCAGGGGAACCUGUCCCAUAACUCGAUAGUCCACGACUACCUAACCUAUUUUUGAAAAUCAGCUUGUGUACUGCCGUUGUAAGCACACCCCUAAAAGAACUGAGUAUGCCCCUAUGACUACAUUACGUAUCUCACAGACAUCAGGUCAAAGUGCAGCUAAUAAAAAGGGGGAAGAUGGGUUACAACCCAAAAAAAGAAACGAACUAAGAACAUAAAAACUCUUAUAAAGGAGGACUUGACCGUAAUUAAUCAAUACUAUAAAUAAAUGAAUAACAACCUAAGACAUGUACACAUCGCCCG
rnacentral:rRNA from 1 species